AUGAACGCUGGCGGCGUGCUUAAUACAUGCAAGUCGAACGAAGCACUUACAGCCGAUCCCUUCGGGGUGAAGCAGUUUGUGACUUAGUGGCGGACGGGUGAGUAACGCGUGGGUAACCUGCCUUAUGCAGGGGGGAUAACAGUUAGAAAUGACUGCUAAUACCGCAUAAGCGCACAGCACCGCAUGGUGCAGUGUAGAAAAGAUUUAUCGGCAUAAGAUGGACCCGCGUCUGAUUAGGUAGUUGGUGAGGUAACGGCCCACCAAGCCUACGAUCAGUAGCCGACUUGAGAGAGUGAUCGGCCACAGUUGGGACUGAGACACGGCCCAGACUCCGUACGGGAGGCAGCAGGUAGGGAAUAUUGCACAAUGGGGGAAACCCUGAUGCAGCGAACCGCCGCGUGAGUGAUUGAAGCAUUUCGGUGCGUAAAGCUCUAUCAGCAGGGAAGAUAAUGACGGUACCUGACUAAGAAGCCCCGGCUAACUACGUGCCAGCAGCCGC
rnacentral:rRNA from 1 species